CUAUUGUCAGCCACAUUGUCUGGGGGCCGCCACCACUACACCCGAGGGAAAACCCUGGACCGCAUGGCACCCCGGCUAUGGGCUCCCGGGUGCUGCCCAGCGUGAUACAAAGCAAAACACCUAUUGCCGCGGGGGUGAUGACAAGGCAGCGCGGCGGCCCGAAAGAAGGCACGGGGCACUGCCUGCUCCCGCCGCCUACCGCGCAGAGAACCCUUCCCCUCCCCUCCAUGGCCAGUGGUGCCCAGCGCCACCUAACUCUCCCUCUUCACUCCCUUCCUGUCCACCGCUUUCCCCACCCCUCCCCAACCACAAGCCACCUACGCCGCCACCUACGCCACCAGACAGCGAAAACCACACACACACACACACACACACACACAC
rnacentral:lncRNA from 1 species